rnacentral:rRNA from 1 species
CCUACGGGAGGCAGCAGUGGGGGAUAUUGCACAAUGGGGGAAACCCUGAUGCAGCGACGCCGCGUGGGUGAAGGAGGUCUUCGGAUUGUAAAGCUCUUUCGGUAGGGAAGAAGAUGACGGUACCCAACAAAGAAUCCCCGGCUAACUACGUGCCAGCAGCCGCGGUAAUACGUAGGGGGCGAGCGUUAUCCGGAUUUACUGGGUGUAACGGGAGCGCAGGCGGGCGAGCAAGCAGGAUGUGAAAGCCCGGGGCCUAACCCGGGGAUGGCUCUGGGAACUGCUUGGCUGGAGUACGGAGGGGGCAGGCGGAAUUCCAGGUGUAGCGGGGAAAUGCGUAGAUAUUGGGAGGAACACCGGUGGCGAAGGCGGCCUGCUGGACUGUGACUGACGUGGAGGCCCGAAGGCGUGGGGAGCAAACAGGAUUAGAUACCCGGGUAGUC